AUAGCUGGUCUGAGAGGAUGAUCAGCCAGACUGGGACUGAGACACGGCCCAGACUCCUACGGGAGGCAGCAGUGAGGAAUCUUCCACAAUGGGCGAAAGCCUGAUGGAGCAACGCCGCGUGAAGGAUGAAGGCCCUCGGGUUGUAAACUUCUUUUAUAAGUGAAGAAUAUGACGGUAACUUAUGAAUAAGCACCGGCUAACUACGUGCCAGCAGCCGCGGUAAU
rnacentral:rRNA from 1 species